UUUUAAAAAUUUCAUCCAUUUGUAUUAUUAAAAACUAGUGUGAUUAACGAAAUAACUAGAUAAUGGCAUGUGAUGUGUCAGAUGUGCGUACAAGAAUAAAAUUUUAACAAUAUAAAUAGAUAAAUUUUUUAAGG
rfam:Gossypium hirsutum cultivar TM-1 chromosome 25, whole genome shotgun sequence